GGGAUAACUCCGGGAAACCGGAGCUAAUACCGGAUAGUUCCUUGAACCGCAUGGUUCAAGGAUGAAAGACGGUUUCGGCUGUCACUUACAGAUGGACCCGCGGCGCAUUAGCUAGUUGGUGAGGUAACGGCUCACCAAGGCGACGAUGCGUAGCCGACCUGAGAGGGUGAUCGGCCACACUGGGACUGAGACACGGCCCAGACUCCUACGGGAGGCAGCAGUAGGGAAUCUUCCGCAAUGGACGAAAGUCUGACGGAGCAACGCCGCGUGAGUGAUGAAGGUUUUCGGAUCGUAAAGCUCUGUUGUUAGGGAAGAACAAGUGCAAGAGUAACUGCUUGCACCUUGACGGUACCUAACCAGAAAGCCACGGCUAACUACGUGCCAGCAGCCGCGGUAAUACGUAGGUGGCAAGCGUUGUCCGGAAUUAUUGGGCGUAAAGGGCUCGCAGGCGGUUUCUUAAGUCUGAUGUGAAAGCCCCCGGCUCAACCGGGGAGGGUCAUUGGAAACUGGGAAACUUGAGUGCAGAAGAGGAGAGUGGAAUUCCACGUGUAGCGGUGAAAUGCGUAGAGAUGUGGAGGAACACCAGUGGCGAAGGCGACUCUCUGGUCUGUAACUGACGCUGAGGAGCGAAAGCGUGGGGAGCGAACAGGAUUAGAUACCCUGGUAGUCCACGCCGUAAACGAUGAGUGCUAAGUGUUAGGGGGUUUCCGCC
rnacentral:rRNA from 1 species